rnacentral:rRNA from 1 species
GAUGAACGCUGGCGGCGUGCCUAAUACAUGCAAGUCGAGCGAACAGACGAGGAGCUUGCUCCUCUGACGUUAGCGGCGGACGGGUGAGUAACACGUGGAUAACCUACCUAUAAGACUGGGAUAACUUCGGGAAACCGGAGCUAAUACCGGAUAAUAUAUUGAACCGCAUGGUUCAAUAGUGAAAGACGGUUUUGCCGUCACUUAUAGCUGGAUCCGCGCCGCAUUAGCUAGUUGGUAAGGUAACGGCUUACCAAGGCGACGAUGCGUAGCCGACCUGAGAGGGUGAUCGGCCACACUGGAACUGAGACACGGUCCAGACUCCUACGGGAGGCAGCAGUAGGGAAUCUUCCGCAAUGGGCGAAAGCCUGACGGAGCAACGCCGCGUGAGUGAUGAAGGUCUUCGGAUCGUAAAACUCUGUUAUUAGGGAAGAACAAAUGUGUAAGUAACUAUGCACGUCUUGAUGGUACCUAAUCAGAAAGCCACGGCUAACUACGUG